rnacentral:rRNA from 1 species
UACGGAGGGUGCAAGCGUUGUCCGGAAUCACUGGGCGUAAAGGGCGCGUAGGCGGCCUGUUAAGUCGAACGUGAAAUCCCCGGGCUCAACCCGGGAACUGCGUCCGAUACUGGCAGGCUUGAAUUCGGGAGAGGGAUGCGGAAUUCCAGGUGUAGCGGUGAAAUGCGUAGAUAUCUGGAGGAACACCGGUGGCGAAGGCGGCAUCCUGGACCAACACUGACGCUGAUGAGCGAAAGCCAGGGGAGCAAACGGGG